GAUUAUGGGCUUAUCUAAUUGAUUCCAGGUGUCUUAUUCCCUGUAGGGCAGGCAAAAUAAAGAGUGGUAGGAAAACAGCACAAGUUUCCACUAUAUAGAUUUUAAACUGUGGAAAACUUGUUGCCUGGGGGUGAGUGUUACGCUGCCAGGAGCUCAUAGACUUUUGGAGCUACUUGGUUGUAGGGAGUUCUAAUUUUCUGCUAGAGAGCCUAUUCUUGAUUCUGCAUGCUGUAUGUAUUUGCUGCAAAAGAGGAUAUAGGAAUAAGCCUGUGUGUGGCCAUGGAACUUUGGAUGACAAAGGAACUGCUGGGAGAAACUGGGCCUGUGUGGAAACUGCAGGCUGAACUGAAUUUUCUCUGUAGAAUUCUAACAGAAGAAAUGCUGUUCCAAGACUGCCUGUGCUUCACAUAGGCACUGCUUUCUACCCUAUUUUUACCUAGAGUCCCAAAUUCCAAUCAGCGUUACUCCUGCUGAAAAAUGGAAUGUGAUUUCCACUGGCAAUGAUAAAUCCACCUGUAUUGCAGAAUUGAGAUGACAGACUUCCAUCUUCCGUGAACAUUUACUGCUCCAUUAUAGAACUCUGAAUCUGACAUUUUAAAAAGCAAUGGUUCCUCAUUUAUUGGUUUUCUUAUAUAUGUGAAUGUAUUUGUAGUGUAUCCAUUUUUGCUGUGGAUUUCUUUGACUUGCAUGCAGUAGUAACUUAAUCUACCUAAUCUAAUGAUUAAUAAAUGUAUAUCUUUGUGGGAUUAGAGCAUAUUUUGUGUAUGAUUGCAACAGAAACAUUACUAGUAGAAAUGUGUUCAUUUUCAGUAAAAUGAGAAUCCUUGCUUGUAUUUGUAUUUCAUUCCUUUCCUGCUGUUACACUAGCGUUCCAAAUGGGAUGGAUGUUGGAUGUCCAUAAAUCCUAAACUAAUGGUCCAGAAAACAGCAGGGCACACAGCAGUGGGAAUGGUCUGUUUUCUGGCUGCAAACACAGUUCCAGUUCUAGAGCAGACCACAGAAGUCUCAAUGGCAUAGCGAGUCCUUUGAAGCAUGGACCUGUAAUUCUGUGGCAGCUGGCUUCCCCCAGUGGAACUGCAAACUGGAAUGGGGCUUUCAGGCUUGCUUAUAGGGUGUAAGACAUAGUUAUGUGAGUUUUGCCUUACAUUAUAAUGAACAGGGAAAUACUUAUUCUAUCAGAAAAUGAAGGAUAGGUGUUCUAUUGUAAGUUAGUUUGCCCAAAUUAUCAGUGAAGUUAAAAAUAUGAAAAUGGAGUAUUUAGAAAUCUGUUGUCUUUGGAUAUUUUGAACUGAUGCAGUGGAACAGCAAAGCACGUCCUAUUUGGCUAUUACAACAUUCAGUUAUAUUUCAAAAACAUGAAAGGUAACGUGUCUUGUAUUUCUCCUUUGGACCUGGAAAUUGAAAUAAAAGAACAUCGCG
ensembl:lncRNA